rnacentral:rRNA from 1 species
UACGUAGGGUGCAAGCGUUACUCGGAAUUACUGGGCGUAAAGCGUGCGCAGGCGGUUUUUUAAGACAGAUGUGAAAUCCCCGGGCUCAACCUGGGAACUGCAUUUGUGACUGUAGAGCUGGAGUACGGUAGAGGGGGAUGGAAUUCCGCGUGUAGCAGUGAAAUGCGUAGAUAUGCGGAGGAACACCGAUGGCGAAGGCAGUCCCCUGGGCCUGCACUGACGCUCAUGCACGAAAGCGUGGGGAGCAAACAGG